UACGGAGGGUGCGAGCGUUGUCCGGAAUCACUGGGCGUAAAGGGCGCGUAGGUGGCUCGUGAAGCGUGCGGUGAAAGUCCGAGGCUCAACCUCGGAUCGGCCGUGCGGACUCGCGGGCUCGAGCGUUGUAGAGGCGGGUGGAAUUCCGGGUGUAGCGGUGGAAUGCGUAGAGAUCCGGAGGAACACCAGAGGCGAAGGCGGCCUGCUGGGCUGCACCUGACGCUGAGCCGCGAAAGCCAGGGGAGCGAACGGG
rnacentral:rRNA from 1 species